AUUGAACGCUGGCGGCAUGCUUUACACAUGCAAGUCGAACGGCAGCGCGGGCUUCGGCCUGGCGGCGAGUGGCGAACGGGUGAGUAAUAUAUCGGAACGUACCCAAGAGUGGGGAUAACGUAGCGAAGUUACGCUAAUACCGCAUACGAUCUAAGGAUGAAAGCAGGGGAUCGCAAGACCUUGUGCUCCUGGAGCGGCCGAUAUCUGAUUAGCUAGUUGGUGGGGUAAAGGCCCACCAAGGCAACGAUCAGUAGCUGGUCUGAGAGGACGACCAGCCACACUGGAACUGAGACACGGUCCAGACUCCUACGGGAGGCAGCAGUGGGGAAUUUUGGACAAUGGGGGCAACCCUGAUCCAGCAAUGCCGCGUGAGUGAAGAAGGCCUUCGGGUUGGUUAAAGACGUCUUUUGUUCUAGGGAAGAAAGGUACGUGGCGUAAUAAUCCUACGACUGCUGACGGUACC
rnacentral:rRNA from 1 species